rnacentral:rRNA from 1 species
UACGUAGGGUGCGAGCGUUGUCCGGCAUUAUUGGGCGUAAAGAGCUUGUAGGCGGUUUGUCGCGUCUGCUGUGAAAAUCCGGGGCUCAACCCCGGACUUGCAGUGGGUACGGGCAGACUAGAGUGUGGUAGGGGAGACUGGAAUUCCUGGUGUAGCGGUGGAAUGCGCAGAUAUCAGGAGGAACACCGGUGGCGAAGGCGGGUCUCUGGGCAACAACUGACGCUGAGGAGCGAAAGCCAGGGGAGCAAACGGG